GCGGGGUAUCGAUCGACGCGGACUCUUAAUCCGCGGGUUCGGGGUUCGAGUCCCUGGCGGCGCACCA
rnacentral:tRNA from 1 species